UAAGAAUACGUACUACCUACCCCAGUUCAUUCUGUACAGAGACUGAGGCCAUAGAGCGGUCUCACUUAUCACCCGUAACUCCUCUAAAGCUAUGGCUUCUUUGCCUUGGCAGCUCACAACCUCCACCGCCACCGCCACCGCCACCGUCACCACCUCCAACAUUUCGGCCUUGUCACCUUCUCCCUUGUUUCACAGGGUUUCUCGGGGGAGUCAGAAAUCGAAACCACAGAUCUGCUCCUAGUAAAGUGUCGUGCAAUUCUACAAAUGGUGAUCCAAACUCGGAUUCUACCUCCGACAUUCGAGAAACUUCCCCAGGGAAGUUAGAUAGGAGGAAUGUGCUUCUUGGCAUAGGAGGGCUGUAUGGUGCCGCUGGCGGCCUCGGCGCCACUGAGCCAUUAGCCUUUGGGGCUCCCAUCCAGGCACCGGAUGUAAACAAGUGUGGUGCCGCCACCGUGCCUGAGGGUGUAACGCCCACAAAUUGUUGCCCGCCAGCCACCACAAAGAUUAUAGAUUUCCAGCUACCUUCCCCAGAUUCCCCCAUGCGCAUUAGGCCAGCUGCUCACUUGGUCAGCAAAGAGUACAUAGCCAAGUAUAAAAAGGCCAUUGAGCUAAUGAAAGCUCUUCCUGAUGAUGAUCCACGGAGCUUCAUGCAGCAGGCCAAUGUCCAUUGCGCCUAUUGCGAUGGGGCUUAUGAUCAGGUUGGGUUUCCGGACCUAGAGCUCCAGGUUCAUUUUUCAUGGCUUUUCUUCCCUUUCCACCGUUUCUAUUGCUACUUUCAUGAGAGAAUUCUUGCAAAACUGAUUAACGAUCCCACCUUCGCUUUGCCCUAUUGGAGCUGGGAUUCCCCUCCUCCUGGAAUGCAAAUGCCGGGCAUCUAUGCUGAUUCCACAUCAACACUCUACGACGCGAAGCGCAACGCCAACCACCUGCCUCCGACUGUAAUCGAUCUCGACUACGAUUUCACCGAACCCACAAUCCCAGUUUCGGAAUUAGUUGCCAACAACCUGUCAAUCAUGUACCGGCAAGUUGUGUCGGGUGCCACGACUGCUAAGCUAUUCUUUGGUGCCCCAUACCGUGCUGGCGAUCAGCCUGACCCCGGACCGGGUACCAUUGAGAACGUCCCACAUGGUCCAGUCCACAUAUGGACUGGACUUUUUGACGAGCCUCAUGAGGACAUGGGAAACUUCUAUACUGCCGGCAGAGACCCCAUAUUUUUCGGUCACCACUCCAACGUCGACCGUAUGUGGACGCUAUGGAAAGCUAUAGGAGGUAAAAAUAGAACGGAAUUCACGGACCCAGAUUGGCUAAACGCCGGGUUCGUCUUCUACGACGAGAACGCCCAACUUGUUCGCGUCAAGGUCCGAGACUGCCUCGACCAUCUCAAGCUGAGAUACAAAUAUCAGGAUAUUCCUAUUCCAUGGCUAAAAAAAAGUACGCAGCCCAAAGCGAAGACGACCACCAAAAGUUCCAAGUCGGGAGUAGCGAAAGCGGCGGAACUCCCAAAGACGACGAUCAGCAGCAGUGGAGGCUUCCCAAAACCUCUUAACUCAGUAAUAAGAGUAGAAGUUCCGAGGCCAAAGAAAUCAAGAAGCAAGAAGGAGAAAGAGGAUGAAGAAGAGGUGUUGCUGAUAAAAGGAAUAGAGCUAGAUAGAGAUGAUUUCGUGAAGUUUGAUGUGUACAUCAACGACGAAGAUUAUUCAGUGAGUAAGCCUAGUAAUAGUGAGUUCGCAGGAAGCUUGGUGAACGUACCACACAAGCAUACGCAGAGAAUGAAGACAAAGACCAGCCUGAGGUUAGCGAUAAAUGAAUUACUAGAUAACUUGGGGGCUGAAGAUGAUGAGAGUGUGAUCGUGACUAUAGUCCCUCGUGCUGGGACCGAUGGUGUCACCAUUGGUGGAAUUGAGAUCGAGUUUGUUUCCGAUUGAUCCCACCUUUCGAUUCUUAUCCAUUAUAUGUAUCCGGUCACGUGUGUUUCGAAAUCAAUGAAGGUCAUUUCUACGCAUUAUGUAUCAUGUAAAUCACAUCAGUAUGUGACUAAUGGAAAAUGUGAAAUUUCUUUCUACUUUCCCCUUCCA